rnacentral:lncRNA from 1 species
AUAGAUGCUCGUGUGGGGAUACUAUGGAUAUAAUGCAAAUGCUCAUUAGAGAAUGAGUUUACUGAUUGAUCCGCUCACGGAAUAUUGGAUGGUUGAUGAUGUCUUAUUGUUAGGCAAUGAUUCCGUAGUCCCAAUGGUAUAUCUAGUCCUUAGACUUGAGACACCAAGGAUAUCUUGUAUGAGUACUCCACUCUCUGAUACCAGAC